rnacentral:lncRNA from 1 species
UUGCAGCCCAGCCGGUCUCAGCCUUAUUUUACCCAGCCCCUAUUCAAGAUGGAGGCACUCUGGUUCAAACGCCUCUGACAAUUACAUUUAAAUAGAAUUUAAAAUUUAGUUUCACAGCCACACUAGCUACAUUUGAAGAGCUCAGUCACUAUAUGUGGCUAGUGGCUAUGAUCUGAGGCAGCAUAGACUAUCUAGGAAAUUCCCAUCAUUGCAUAAAGGUCUAUUGAAUGGCACUUAUUUAGAUGAAGAAGUCACAUAGUCUGAGGAGCUGGAAAUCUAAUCUGCCUUCUUUAAAUGUAACAUGUAGAAGUUGGUCGAAUCCAAAGAUGGGGAGCCUGUGGAUACUGAAGGCCAACUGUACUACAGGGUUAGAAGCAUAAGUCAGUGGAAGACAGAAGAGGCCAAUCUGCUUCUCCAUCAACCCAUUAGGCAAUGACAAAACUGCAACAAUACUGAGCUGAGAAAAGGGAAGUAGCUGCAACUUAAAUAAUCUUCGAACUUUUAAUUCU